ACAUCCUAAGGGUGUGACCUUGAUCUGCCAUGGGUGUUUGUCUGCUGUUGAUGCAUUUGUCCUAUGGGUUGCCGGGCUUGAGCUCAGGUUCUCAGGCUUUGAGCUCCCCAAAAACCUUCAACCUAAAGCAUGUAUCAAGAUGGCGUCCAGGUCAGGAGAAUGUCUGCAAAUGGGAUCUAAUGGAUGUUAUGUAGUCCUUUGCUUUGAGGAUUUGGACUUAUAGACCCUCAGAUUAUGGAUGCAACCGAGAGACUCCAUAUGUAUCUUCAGGUAUAACAAGUUGCUUAAUAACCAGGCAGUGAUGGUGUACACCUGUAGUUCCUUGGAAGCUGAUGUAAGUAAAUCUCUCCAGUCUGAGGAUUUUGUCCAACUGAGCAGCAAAGCAAGACUGUCUCAGAAGAAAAAGAGCCAUGCAAACCUAAAUGCGGGUUGUAUCCUUGAAAUAGCGACACUCACAAGGCUGAGGCAUGAUGGUUGUAAGUUGGAGGCCAGCCUGGGCUGCUACACAGUGAGAACUGGUUUCAGCAACAACAACAACAACAACAACAACAACAGCAACAGCAACAGCAACAGCAACAGCAACAGCAACAGCAACAGCAACAGCAACAGCAACAACAACAACAACAACAGCAACAGCAGCAGCAACAACAACAAAGCAGCAGCAGCAACAACAACGACAACAGAAGAAAAUUUCACUCUAGAAAAAAACAGUCUAAAAACUAAAACAACCAAAACCUCUACAAUAAUAUCAACAAACCCAAAUAAAGCAGGGCAGCAGAAAUAGCUGAGAAGAAAGCACCUCUUGAGACCACAACAAUCGCUGUUAACAUUUUAUAAUGAUGUCUCACCUGCAUGUUCAUUAAUACACCGCAUGCUCCUCCCACCUGUAUUAUUCAUACUGUUUUUUUUGUUGUUGUUGAAGUUGUUUUGGUUUUGUCUUAUGAGCCAGUUGUAAAAUUUGUUCAUAGGUUGCUCCUUAGAAAUCAUUAUUUCUCCAGAGGUGACAGGGUGGAAUGCCUUCAUUUUACUAUUCCUUGGUUGUUUUCAUUUUUUGUUAGUGUAAAUAAUGGUGGUGGUCACUGUAUCACACAUAUGUCUUCUUUGUGUCUUGAUGCUUAUGGAAAAGUAUGAAAAGAAGUGAUUACUAAUGCCUGUUAUUUACUGAGGACGAAUCAUGUCUCGGUUCAACAUAUGUAAAAAGAGAAGGUGAACAAAUAGGAAGAUGGUAGACUAUCCCACUGCUGUGCCCCAUCUGCUGUUUUUCAUUGUACCCUUAGCUCCAUGCUACAGAGCCCAUUUGUGGAGGUUACACUAGUGUUCUCUUGCAGAUCAAUAUUUUAAGUAGCUCAACUCUCUUAAUUACUUAAAAUAUUGUUAGCUGUUUUAUACUCCUGUGGAUUUUUUUAUUCAUUGCUCCAAUUUUGUGUAGACUUUCAAACCUUUUGAACUGUGGGGACAGUUCAAUGCCUGCACUGUCUCUCCUGUCACCGUUAGUGCUUCCUGGCUUUGAAUUAGUGAAUACUUAUUGGUUUUCAUUCCAGAGUUUGUUGAUGCAAAGUUUAAAAGCUUUAAAAAUCACAUUUAAUCCAGGCAGUGGUGGCACAAGCCUUUAAUCCUAGUAUUUGGGAGAAAGAAGCAAGCAGAGUUUUAAGUUCAAGGCCAGCCUGGUCUAUAAAAUAACUUUCAGGAUAGCUAGGGAUAUUGAACUGAAAAACCUUGUCUUGGGUGGGUAUCCAUUUUAGUACCUUUGUGCAUAUUUCUGAUUUUAAAAAAUUACAUAUAUUUACUUUGUGUAUGUGUUG
rnacentral:lncRNA from 1 species